GGGGGGGGGGGGGGUGCUUGACCCCUCUCGACCCCCCCUCCCUCCGCCCCUGCUUCACAUUUACCCCUCAAGGAAAAUUUUUAUCGUGGUUGACACUGUCUCGUCCUUCCUUCAAGUUCAAGCCACAACAGUCCACAACUCUUAAAAUGGACUUGCUUCAAAAUCAUUUCUUUCCAAGCUUUCAAGAUUGAGAAUGACGCUUCUGGCUUCAGCUCCGUUCCAUCUGGUUUGUUUUCUACUUUCCUGUCCUUUGAUUUUCUGGAUUUUGUGUAUGAGAUUUGUUGGUUGAUUUUUAUUUUAUUUUUUAAGUCGGAUUUGUUGGUU